rnacentral:rRNA from 1 species
GAUGAACGCUGGCGGCGUGCCUAAUACAUGCAAGUCGAGCGAACGGACGAGAAGCUUGCUUCUCUGAUGUUAGCGGCGGACGGGUGAGUAACACGUGGAUAACCUACCUAUAAGACUGGGAUAACUUCGGGAAACCGGAGCUAAUACCGGAUAAUAUUUUGAACCGCAUGGUUCAAAAGUGAAAGACGGUCUUGCUGUCACUUAUAGAUGGAUCCGCGCUGCAUUAGCUAGUUGGUAAGGUAACGGCUUACCAAGGCAACGAUGCAUAGCCGACCUGAGAGGGUGAUCGGCCACACUAGAACUGAGACACGGUCCAGACUCCUACGGGAGGCAGCGGUAGGGAAUCUUCCGCAAUGGGCGAAAGCCUGACGGAGCAACGCCGCGUGAGUGAUGAAGGUCUUCGAAUCGUAAAACUCUGUUAUUAGAGAAGAACAUAUGUGUAAGUAACUGUGCACAUCUUGACGGUACCUAAUCAGAAAGCCACGGCUAACUACGUG